AUUGAACGCUGGCGGCAGGCCUAACACAUGCAAGUCGAACGGUAACAGGAAGAAGCUUGCUUCUUUGCUGACGAGUGGCGGACGGGUGAGUAAUGUCUGGGAAACUGCCUGAUGGCGGGGGAUAACUACUGGAAACGGUAGCUAAUACAGCAUAAUGUCGCAAGACCAAAGAGGGGGACCUUCGGGCCCCUUGCCAUCGGAUGUGCCCAGAUGGGAUUAGCUAGUAGGUGGGGUAACGGCUCACCUAGGCGACGAUCCCUAGCUGGUCUGAGAGGAUGACCAGCCACACUGGAACUGAGACACGGUCCAGACUCCUACGGGAGGCAGCAGUGGGGAAUAUUGCACAAUGGGCGCAAGCCUGAUGCAGCUAUGCCGCGUGUAUGAAGAAGGCCUUCGGGUUGUAAAGUACUUUUAGCGGGGAGGAAGGGAGUAAAGUUAAUACCUUUGCUCAUUGACGUUACCCGAAGAAGAAGCACCGGCUAACUCCGUG
rnacentral:rRNA from 1 species